GACGAAGGAUGCAAGCGUUAUCCGGAUUCAUUGGGUUUAAAGGGAGCGUAGGUGGUCUUCUAAGUCAGUGGUGAAAUCUCUCGGCUUAACCGAGAAAUUGCCAUUGAUACUGGGAGACUUGAGUAUAGUUGCCGUUGGCGGAAUAUGACAUGUAGUGGUGAAAUACAUAGAGAUGUCAUAGAACACCGAUUGCGAAGGCAGCUAACGAAACUAUAACUGACACUGAGGCUCGAAAGUGCGGGGAUCAAACAGG
rnacentral:misc_RNA from 1 species